rnacentral:rRNA from 1 species
UACAGAGGAUGCAAGCGUUAUCCGGAAUGAUUGGGCGUAAAGCGUCUGUAGGUGGCUUUUUAAGUCCGCCGUCAAAUCCCAGGGCUCAACUCUGGACAGGCGGUGGAAACUACCAAGCUGGAGUACGGUAAGGGCAGAGGGAAUUUCCGGUGGAGCGGUGAAAUGCGUAGAGAUCGGAAGAACAUCGGUGGCGAAGGCGCUCUGCUGGACCAUAACUGACACUCAGGGACGAAAGCUAGGGGAGCGAAUGGG